rnacentral:rRNA from 1 species
GAUGAACGCUGGCGGCGUGCCUAAUACAUGCAAGUCGAGCGAACAGACGAGGAGCUUGCUCCUCUGACGUUAGCGGCGGACGGGUGAGUAACACGUGGAUAACCUACCUAUAAGACUGGGAUAACUUCGGGAAACCGGAGCUAAUACCGGAUAAUAUAUUGAACCGCAUGGUUCAAUAGUGAAAGACGGUUUUGCUGUCACUUAUAGAUGGAUCCGCGCCGCAUUAGCUAGUUGGUAAGGUAACGGCUUACCAAGGCAACGAUGCGUAGCCGACCUGAGAGGGUGAUCGGCCACACUGGAACUGAGACACGGUCCAGACUCCUACGGGAGGCAGCAGUAGGGAAUCUUCCGCAAUGGGCGAAAGCCUGACGGAGCAACGCCGCGUGAGUGAUGAAGGUCUUCGGAUCGUAAACCUCUUUUAUUAGGGAAAAACAAAUGUGUAAGUAACUAUGCACGUCUUGACGGUACCUAAUCAGAAAGCCCCGGCUAACUACGUG